GCCCAGGUGGCGGAAUUGGUAGACGCGCUGGCUUCAGGUGCCAGUGACCGAAAGGUCGUGGAGGUUCGAGUCCUCUCCUGGGCA
rfam:Caulobacter vibrioides strain T5M6 contig_42, whole genome shotgun sequence.